rnacentral:rRNA from 1 species
UGGAAGCGUCUGGAAAGGCGCGCGAUACAGGGUGACAGCCCCGUACACAAAAGCGCAUAUGCUGUGAGCUCGAUGAGUAGGGCGGGACACGUGGUAUCCUGUCUGAAUAUGGGGGGACCAUCCUCCAAGGCUAAAUACUCCUGACUGACCGAUAGUGAACCAGUACCGUGAGGGAAAGGCGAAAAGAACCCCGGCGAGGGGAGUGAAAAAGAACCUGAAACCGUGUACGUACAAGCAGUGGGAGCCCCACCACUAAGCCAGUGGUGAACUCCACAUACGCAUCCUUUGCUGAGGAGACGGUUAACGGAGCGAAAGCGACGUUCAACCUCAAAAGAAGCAGAGGGGGCUUAGUGGUGGGGUGACUGCGUACCUUUUGUAUAAUGGGUCAGCGACUUAUAUUCUGUAGCAAGGUUAACUGUAUAGGGGAGCCGGAGGGAAACCGAGUCUUAACCGGGCGUUAAGUUGCAGGGUAUAGACCCGAAACCCGGUGAUCUAGCCAUGGGCAGGUUGAAGGUUGGGUAACACUAACUGGAGGACCGAACCGACUAAUGUUGAAAAAUUAGCGGAUGACCUGUGGCUGGGGGUGAAAGGCCAAUCAAACCGGGAGAUAGCUGGUUCUCCCCGAAAGCUAUUUAGGUAGCGCCUCGUGAAUUCAUCUCCGGGGGUAGAGCACUGUUUCGGCUAGGGGGCCAUCCCGGCUUACCAACCCGAUGCAAACUGCGAAUACCGGAGAAUGUUAUCACGGGAGACACACGGCGGGUGCUAAUGUCCGUCGUGAAGAGGGAAACAACCCAGACCGCCAGCUAAGGUCCCAAAGUCAUGGUUAAGUGGGAAACGAUGUGGGAAGGCCCAGACAGCCAGGAUGUUGGCUUAGAAGCAGCCAUCAUUUAAAGAAAGCGUAAUAGCUCACUGGUCGAGUCGGCCUGCGCGGAAGAUGUAACGGGGCUAAACCAUGCACCGAAGCUGCGGCAGCGACACCGUGUGUUGUUGGGUAGGGGAGCGUUCUGUAAGCCUGUGAAGGUGUGCUGUGAGGCAUGCUGGAGGUAUCAGAAGUGCGAAUGCUGACAUAAGUA